AUGUCUAAGGGACGAGUUUUAAAGUCUAAACCAAGAUCUGAAGACGGAAGAGGGACCGCAGACAUCCUGGAGGGGAUCACGGUGUCUGUGACCAACAUGAAACCUGACAGAGCUGGGGGAAAGGCAAGCGUGAUGACAUCAGUUCCUGUGUGGCUGUGAUCUUUAGUGAUGACCACAGUGGCCCGGUUCAGCUCACUCUGACUGCUUGAAGGGCAGGUUCAGGAAAGGCAAAACUGUUUCUAGACCAGCAUUCUCACUCAAAUAGCUGCACACACAGAAGACCCAGCAUGAAGUGAGGGGGCCAUCUGGACCUGUAGCGUUUCUCUCUGUUCGUGUAAACACUCACUGUGAGCAUUUCUAUUAUUGGAAUGUGUACAAGCUGUAUACGUAAACACAACCCGACCACACCUGAGCACCUCGACUGAGCUCGUAGGACCUGUAUAGACAGAAGAGCAGCUAUGCAAAUAAAAGAAAAGGUGUCUCAUUUGCAUUUGCAUUGGCAUCUUGUUUGCAUUUUUUUGAGUUCUGUCAUGAAUUACAUAGAUUUUGAGAACAUAGAAUGUUGGGCCUGUCGCACUUCCUAAUAACUGUUUAGCAGUGCUAAAAUGAUCAUAUACUGUGAUUCUUUUCCAUGCAAUAUUUAACCUGAUUUUAGAUCCCAGAAUUUCCUUUUUUUAUUAUUAUUAUUUAUGUCUACAUUCCACAGUGUACAUAGCGAAGAAGACAAGGUUUUACAAAAAAACAAACAAACAUAAAAUCUAAAAAAUAUAGAAUGACUGAUGGACUGCAGUUUCAGUUGCAGUCCAGGUAUGAUAUCAUGAUGCAUCACAAUAUGAAUCAUAACAUGAGACAUGAUGAGUAAAAUACUUUAAGGUGGUUUGCAAAACCCAGCCCUAUUCUUUGUCAUCCACUUUUUUUAAAUAGGGAUGCAUGCAUGAGAAAUUAUUGAUCAUCGGCCAGUCAUGUGUAUAUAUAAUUAAGCUUUGCUAUUUUCUUCUAUUUUUAAUUUUAAAUGGCAUUUGUCGUCAUUCUAAUGCUCACACAUUUUCAUGCUGUAGAUUAUAAACUUGUGAUGGUUAAAAUCACACGUAGCUUUUAAAUGAUUGAUUUUGUUUUUAAAUGAUAACUUUUAAAUGAUAGAUUUAGUAUUUAACUAAGAAUUUUAAUAUAAUAUUGCUUUUUGUCCAUUUUGGGAAAAGACUGCACAUUUAGAAUGUAUUCGUUAACUUUUAGGACUACAUAAGCAUAUAUAUAUGAUAUUAAAUCUAACUGAAAUGGAUUAAACGCCACAAAACACUUUUCAAAUUUGCUUUCAGGGGUCCUUAAAAGCUCUCGACCUUUUACUAACCUGAAAAACAUGGCAAACCCUUCAUUAUCAUCUGAACAUGUCAUCUGCAUUUAAAUAAAGCAGCAUUUUGAAAAGCUGUGCAGAGAAUCAGUUUAAUGUUCAUUUUUCAGCUCAGUGAGCGCUUUUUGGUAAACAUCUUUGGUUUACGAUGAGAUUUUCCACCGUCUGCUGCGCCUCUGGUGCUGUCAUUUGAAUAAGCUGGCGUGAAACAGACGGGGGGAGCAUAUUAAGAGAAAGUGUGAGGUUGUCUUUGAGGCAUCCUGAAAUUCAUCUGUGAUGAGAUCUUGUAGUAAUUUAAAUAUUGGCUUAGACCUGCUGGAUUAGAUAAUAACACGCUCAUACUUUCUCUUAACAACUAGAUGGGUACAGUUUUUUUUUUUUUUUUUCUCAUGGGCUGGGAAUUCUUGGAUGCAUGCAGAGGUGGAGUUAUGGGUUAUCUUUGAAUGACGACGAGGACAGAUGCAUGAGAAGGCAAGUUGUGUAACACCCUGUAUCAUAUUGUUUUUUUCACACUCGAUUUCUCUGAUGAUUGGUGACCCAUAUUGGAAUACAUUACAUAAGUGCUGUUACAAUUAAUUGGCUCCUACUCUACUGCAGAAAUCUAUUUCUUUGUGGUAACAUUAAUAUCUGGUUUCAUCAAUCAAUAAGCUUUUAUCACAGAUGAAGACUUGGAUCAUUUAGGAGAACGGUUCAGCUCACUCUGACCGAAUGAAGGGCAGGUUCAGGAAAGUCAAAAACUGUUUCUAGACCAGUGCUCUCACUCAAAUAGCUGCACACACAGAAGACCCAGCGUGAAGAGAGGGGGCCAUCUGGACCUGUAGCUUUUCUCUCUGUUGGUGUAAACACUCACUGUGGGCGUUUCUAUUAUUGGAAUGUGUACAAGCUGUAUGCGUAAACACAACCCGACCACACCUGAGCACCUCGAGUGAGCUAAUAACUCAGCUAGUUGGUCCU
rnacentral:lncRNA from 1 species